UUUGACCUACGGGACGCAGCAGUGGGGGAUAUUGGACAAUGGGGGAAACCCUGAUCCAGCGAUGCCGCGUGAGGGAAGAAGGGUUUAGGAUUGUAAACCUCUGUGGAGGGGGACGCUAAUGACGGUACCCCUUUAGGAAGCCACGGCUAACUACGUGCCAGCAGGCGCGGUAAUAUGUAGGUGGCGAGCGUUGUCCGGAAUUACUGGGUGUAACGGGAGUGUAGGCGGGAAAGACAGU
rnacentral:rRNA from 1 species